GAUGAACGCUGGCGGCGUGCCUAAUACAUGCAAGUCGAGCGAACAGACGAGGAGCUUGCUCCUCUGACGUUAGCGGCGGACGGGUGAGUAACACGUGGAUAACCUACCUAUAAGACUGGGAUAACUUCGGGAAACCGGAGCUAAUACCGGAUAACAUGUUGAACCGCAUGGUUCAACAGUGAAAGACGGUUUUGCUGUCACUUAUAGAUGGAUCCGCGUCGCAUUAGCUAGUUGGUAAGGUAACGGCUUACCAAGGCAACGAUGCGUAGCCGACCUGAGAGGGUGAGCGGCCACACGGGAACGGAGACACGGUCCAGCCUCCUCCGGGAGGCACAAGGAGGGAAUCUUCCGCAAGGGGGGAAAGCCGGAAGGAGCACGGCCGCGGGAGUGAAGAAGGUCUUCGGAUCGAAAAACUUUUUUAUUAGGGAAAAAAAAAGGUGAAAGAAAAUAUGCACGUCUUGACGGUACCUAAUCAGAAAGCCAGGGCAAACUACGUG
rnacentral:rRNA from 1 species